UUCAAAGCUACUUUUUAAAAAAGUAAGGGGCUGUUUUUAAGCCGUUUUUUAUUUUUCGAUUUUCUAAAAUGGUGAAAAUGCGUUAUCCUUCUCAUUUUCGAAAAUAACUUUUCGAAAAAAAAAAUUGUACUAAAAACACAAAAUGUAGAAAACAUGGUAAAAUUAAAAACAUGGCAAACAUCCUCUUUUCCAUUACCGUGCGUGAGAGCAGAGAAGCAACGAAAAUACCUCCCUCACGAUCGAAGACCUGCUACCUUCUUCCUCAACAAUCGACCACCACCCGCUACCUAGAACACCAGAUUUCAUAACCAUUUGAACCCCCUCACCUCCCUCUUCAACCUCUUGUCAUCACCUGGCCACGGAGUUGCCCAAAAUAGCCCCAAUCACCACCCAAAAUCGCGCUAUUAGUCACGAUUUUCGCCAUAUUUCCACCGUCGUCGGCCACCGUUUCGAGCGCGGACCACCACCACUCCACUCCUCCCAACCAGGCGCAUCCAGUACCAACAUAUGUCACCUGCAAUUUUGUCCAGAUUCGAGCGAGAUUGUGAAAGUAGUCUUGUGUGGCAGAUUCGGUCCCAACAAAAUUGAUGAAAUUUUGUUGAUGCAAAUAAUCAAUUUUGCUUUCCAAACAUCAAGGUUGGUUUUUUGAAUGGGUUGGGUUUAGUUUUUGCACAUUUAUUUAUGGUUUCUUGAAUGUUAUUGAAUUCCCUUGUUUUUUUCUCAGGUAAAUUGAAAUAUUGACUAAUAUGUAUUUCAUUAUAAUGCUCGUUGGAUUUUGAUUAUAUUAUGGUUUUUAAAUAAUGGGAUUUUCAUGUUUUGUUAGAUUAUUGGGAGGUUUUGAAGGAAAUCAAAGAAAUAUUCAGAAAUUCCUCCCAGUCUUUAAAGGAUAUGCAGAGGAAUGCUGAUAUUUUUAGUGUGACAAGACUAGAGUGAAACCAAUCUUCAAAAAUAUAAAACAAGAGUUUAUUUCUUAAACCGACUGGGAAUGGUUCAAACGAGAUAUCAUUAUUUUUCCUCUCCCCUUCAUGGUGUGUGAAUUGUAGAAAGAAUUCAGAAAUCAUUGAUCACAUAUUGCUACAUUGUGAUGUUGCUGGAUUGCUUUGGUGUAAACUUCUUGAGGAAGUUGGUUUUAAUUGUGUUUUCCACUGGAAGUGUAUUAGAUUGCUCAUUUAAAAUAUGAUUAAUUUGGUUAAGGAUAAAAGGGGCAUGAUUUGGAUAGAGAAACAAUAUGAUCUUUGAAUGAAAAGAGUUGGGAAGUUUAUAAGUUAUUGGAAAGUCUUGGACAAAAAAUAAUAAUUUACUUCCAUGUUCUAUCAACUUUGUAGUUAUGUCUUUGGGAAUGAUCUAUGUAAAUUGCUCUUGAUCCAGAAAUUACUUAGACCUUCUAACCUUUUCAAUGGGUGAUGUUAUGAAGUCCAUCUAGAUUUCAUGUCCAAACAAGAAUGCAGUUAAAACUUAACAUCUAAGCACACUAAGCCUUUGGCUGAAUAUGAUCGUUUAUUAAGUUCUUACCUAUUUCAACAUUCUUCAUUUUUUAAAACAACUCCUCUCUUAGGCUUUUGAACUGCGUUACUUGAUCUCCCAUGAGAAUCCAGUAAUGCUGUUCAAACAGGAUGCUUAUUGCAUAUGGCUUGUGUAUAGCUUAAUUUUCUGUGAUAUGUUUCUUAUAAGAAGUAGGAAGCAUGAUCGACUUAAUCUCUGGUCAUUCUGUUCAUUAUUUUGAAUGGGUGUGUGCAUCUUUGAAUUAAUGGGUCUUGGCUUAAAUGUUUCAAAUUUUUGAAUUUAUUGAUAGUCAAACUUUAUUUGUCUCCUGAUCUAGUUCACACUUCUCCUAAUCAGUCUUGAAUCUGUUUGUGGCUCAAACCCAACCUGAUCACUGAUUCUGCAAGGUUCAUUAUAUUCCAACCAGAAAGUUUGCCUAACUUAUAUUACAAUAAUAAAACCUCACUUUACUUGCAAGGAAAAAGAGCUAGUCUUUCUUUCCUUUUGCUAAUCUCUUGUGCCCAGCUAACAUAUAGCUGUACAUAAAAACUGGAUUAGGUGCAUUAGACUUGUCUUUUUCAUUUUAUGCUGAUUAAUGAUUAUUCUUUUGGUUUCUCAGAUGGUGGUGACGAUGGAUUUGAUGAUGAUUUUGACAAGAUAUAGCUUGGUAAGUGUAGCGUGUUACUUGCAUCUGUGGCUCUGUGUGUGUGCAUGCGUGUGUCGUGGGAUGGGGCCUCUCUAGUGUUCUCAGAAAUUUCAUUUUGUUUUAUUGAAAUUUGCAAAUGAAACCAACAAAAAAAUUGUUGCCUCUUAACUUUCAUUAGUUUUGCUGGCUUUAUGAACUGAUGUUUGAUUACCAAAUUCCAGUUGCAAAAAGAGCCAAAUUUUGUAUAUACAGUGGAUAUGGUUAGGUUGCAGAAAGAACCAAAUUUUGGUGAUGUGCAACUCAAUAUAGAUGGGAUUGUUUCGCAUUUGUACAUACAAAUGUAUUAUUUGCCUCAAAAGGACUAUAGACUUUUGAUGUAAUUUGUACGCUUGAGGUUUCAAUCAAGACAAGUUUUACAUUUCACGAACAUAUUUCAUGUUAUUGAAUUUCGACUUAUGUUAGUGGUGG
rnacentral:lncRNA from 1 species